GAGUUCUUUAUUUGAUUUUGAAAUUUUAAAUAGUUUAUACUCGUAUUUAGGAGUUCUUGAAUUUCUUUGAACUUUGUAAAUAGUUUAUACUCGUAUUUAGGAGUUCUUCAUUUGAUUUUGAAAUUUUAAAUAGUUUAUACUCGUAUUUAGGAGUUCUUGAUUUGAAUUUUGAAUUUGCUCUUUUUUUUUUUUAAAAAAAUUUGCUUUAGCAUCCCAUAAUGAUUAACCUAUUUGUGGUUCAAUCAUUUGGAGCUAUUUUCUAUACGUUGAUAGAAAGUAUUAGCUGCAAACUCCAAUCCAAGCCAUUUGCUUAACCAAAGACAUCAAAUGUCUAAUUUGAAGAUAUCAAC
rnacentral:lncRNA from 1 species